rnacentral:miRNA from 1 species
GGCUAACCUGGAUGGCUGUGAAUUGGCUUAAUCUCAGCUGGCAACUGUGAGAUAUUAAUAAAUUCCCUCACAGUGGUCUCUGGGAUUAUGCUAAACAGAGCAAUUUCCUUGCCCUCAUGGAUCAAUAGACUUGCUCAGCAACCUAAAU